UGGACAAAUUAUUGCAUUCGACUGUAUUCACGGCAUGAAAUAGGAAAUUACACUAUUUUUAAAACGGAAAGUGAAUCAAUUAACAUAAUAGACUCCU
rfam:Nicotiana sylvestris Nsyl_contig84558, whole genome shotgun sequence.